rnacentral:rRNA from 1 species
UACGGGGGGAGCAAGCGUUGUUCGGAUUUACUGGGCGUAAAGGGCGCGUAGGCGGCCACCGCAAGUCAAUUGUGAAAUCUCCGGGCUUAACUCGGAAAGGUCAACUGAUACUGCGGGGCUAGAGUGCGGAAGGGGCAACUGGAAUUCUCGGUGUAGCGGUGAAAUGCGUAGAUAUCGAGAGGAACACCUGCGGCGAAGGCGGGUUGUG